UAUCUCCGAGCACAGGCGGAAAAGCUGAGGUUUGAACUCCACGCGCCAGCCUGUGGGAGGAGGGGAAGAGAUGAUAACGACGACGCUUUGGCCUCUCGACUCUCGAGAGAGCACUCUUGUUAGUCUCGUACUCUUUAUUUCCAGUCCAGCUGUGGUUGGUCUGCUUUGUGCUGCGGAAACGCCAACCUUCGCCGCCGGCAGGAACUCUUUGCCUUAUCACCUCUCUUUUAUUUGCACUGAAAAAAAAAAGAAAAGCGAAUGAUCAUAUAAUUUAAGUACGAAUAUAUAAAAAAA
rnacentral:lncRNA from 1 species